rnacentral:rRNA from 1 species
GACGAACGCUGGCGGCGUGCCUAAUACAUGCAAGUAGAACGCUGAAGGAGGAGCUUGCUUCUCUGGAUGAGUUGCGAACGGGUGAGUAACGCGUAGGUAACCUGCCUGGUAGCGGGGGAUAACUAUUGGAAACGAUAGCUAAUACCGCAUAAUAGUAGAUGUUGCAUGACAUUUGCUUAAAAGGUGCAAUUGCAUCACUACCAGAUGGACCUGCGUUGUAUUGGCUAGUUGGUGGGGUAACGGCUCACCAAGGCGACGAUACAUAGCCGACCUGAGAGGGUGAUCGGCCACACUGGGACUGAGACACGGCCCAGACUCCUACGGGAGGCAGCAGUAGGGAAUCUUCGGCAAUGGACGGAAGUCUGACCGAGCAACGCCGCGUGAGUGAAGAAGGUUUUCGGAUCGUAAAGCUCUGUUGUAAGAGAAGAACGAGUGUGAGAGUGGAAAGUUCACACUGUGACGGUAUCUUACCAGAAAGGGACGGCUAACUACGUG